rnacentral:rRNA from 1 species
AGAAUCAACGCUGGCGGCGUGCCUAACACAUGCAAGUCGCACGAGAAAGGGGAGCAAUCCCUGAGUAAAGUGGCGCACGGGUGAGUAACACGUGAAUGAUCUACCUCCGAGUGGGGAAUAACUGAGAGAAAUCUUAGCUAAUACCGCAUAAUACCCACGGGUCAAAGCAGCAAUGCGCUUGGAGAGGAGUUCGCGGCCGAUUAGCUAGUUGGCGGGUAAUGGCCCACCAAGGCGAUGAUCGGUA